rnacentral:tRNA from 1 species
GCCUGUAUGGUGAAAUUGGUAUACACGCUAGAUUCAAAAUCUGGUUCCUUCGGGAGUGUCGGUUCGACUCCGACUACAGGUACCA